rnacentral:rRNA from 1 species
CNCGGGNCUUCUCCUGAAUUACGGCGGCGGGUGAGUACACGUGGCACCUGCCUAUAAGACUGGGAUACUUCGGGAAACCGGAGCUAAUACCGGAUACGUUCUUUUCUCGCAUGAGAGAAGAUGGAAAGACGGUUUACGCUGUCACUUAUAGAUGGGCCCGCGGCGCAUUAGCUAGUUGGUGAGGUAAUGGCUCACCAAGGCGACGAUGCGUAGCCGACCUGAGAGGGUGAUCGGCCACACUGGGAACUGAGACACGGCCCAGACUCCUACGGGAGGCAGCAGUAGGGAAUCUUCCGCAAUGGACGAAAGUCUGACGGAGCAACGCCGCGUGAACGAAGAAGCCUUCGGGUCGUAAAGUUCUGUUGUUAGGGAAGAACAAGUACCAGAGUAACUGCUGGUACCUUGACGGUACCUAACCAGAAGCCACGGCUAACUACGUGCCAGCAGCCGCGGUAAUACGUAGUGG